ACGCUCGACACCUACGGAGGCAGCAGUCGGGAAUAUUGCGCAAUGGAGGAAACUCUGACGCAGUGACGCCGCGUAUAGGAAGAAGGUUUUCGGAUUGUAAACUAUUGUCGUUAGGGAAGAAAAAAGACAGUACCUAAGGAGGAAGCUCCGGCUAACUACGUGACAGCAGCCGCGGUAAUCUGAGCGGGCUGGCAAGGC
rnacentral:rRNA from 1 species